AUGGCUUCCUCUCUUGCAACAGAGGAUGCUCUACUUCUUCGUUUGGAUAUGCCUGGACUCGGUAAGGAUGCUGUGAAGAUCUCUGUGGAACAUAACACUGUUAUUAUUAAAGGUGAAGAAAGUGGUCAAGAAAGUCAGGAAAGUGGUCGUCGAUUCUCUAGCAGAAUUGAUUUACCGGAUAAGCUUUACAAGAAUGAUGAGAUUAAAGCUGAGAUGAAAAAUGGCGUGCUCAAGGUUAUUGUGCCUAAGAUGAAGGAACAAGAAAGGAACAAUGUCAUUAACGUCAAGGUUAACUAG